GCCGGUGAGGGUGGAGACGGGGCAAGCUGCAGGCAGCGCGGCCACAGGGCGGGUGCCCCCAAGUGCUCGGCCCCUCAGGAAGUGCCAUGUCACAUAAAUGCCCCUCUCUGAUGCAUGGGCGGGGCCGGGCAAUGACCACACCAGGUGAAGUGGCCUUCGAUCUGUCAGAGACAAUCUGGGGUGGCGUGAGACAGACGUGGAAGGGAGCUGGCCUCUGGGCUCUGGGGUGAGCAGGAAAGGAAAUGGAGGAGGAAGAGAGGCAAGGGGGCUCCGGGGGCCCCUGCAGAGGGCACUGGAUACCCACUGAGAAGUCUUGGGAGUAAGUUGGCCCCGUCUCUCGGACCCUCGCUGUGUCCGGACCAGCCUUCCACACGUGGUCUGAACCUGUCUGCACCUCUGGCCAGCGUGGGGGCAAAGCCCCAUCUCCUUAUGGUCCCUGGACUGCAUGAUGUUGGCCCCAGAGUGGAAGCUCCUCUGAGCUCCUUAUACAAACCACGCACAAGCAACACGCCCUUUGCUGUAGGUGUCGCAAAGGAGGGUCUACCGGAACCUGCUCCAGAGCCGUCUCCCUGAGCUCACCCCAGGCUUUCUCCACCUGCUGGCUUCUGCCUCUCUCCCUCCUGCCCUGCCUUCUCUUCCUCUCCUCCCUUUUCAGGAGCAAGACAUCAACAUUUUGCCUUCUGCCUCCCGCAGCGUACCUCAUUUUUUUGAACCAAGCCAGGCUCUUCCAGGGAUUGUAGUGAAUGCGAGUUUGCUUCAUCUAGUUGCAUCCAUGGUUGAAAGGCCCAGAAUGGGCAAGCGACCCGCCCGAGGUCCCACGUUGAGCACGGGGCCUUGUAUCUGUCUUGAACCUACAUGCACGGGUCUCCGCUUCUGCCCGGCUCCCUCCGAACCACAUCCAGCUGCAUUCUCUUCUGAAUCGGGGGUCUGCACAGAGACUGGCACAUAGUAGGUGUGCAGUCAGCACCCGUGAAUGAAGGAAUGAAUGAAUGAACAAGGUACGGAGGAGAGGGUGAGUGUGUCUACGUGGGGAGAUGUCAGGAAUCAUAUGGGGCGGGAGGUGGUGUUCAAAGUGGGAUUUAAAGGGUUAAUAGGAGCUUUCUGGAUGACAGCUGUGGGGGAAGAGGCUGGAAAAGACAGCAGAGACUAGGUUGAAAAAGGCUUAACUAUCAGACUAAAAAUUGGGAUUUUUAAAUUAUUUCUCAUGCCUCUUUAUUUUGAGAGAGAGGGAGAGAGAGAAAGUGUGAGCAGGAAAGGGGCAGAGAGAGAUGUGGAUGUAAAAUCCAAAGUAGGCUCUGUGCUGACAGCAGCAAGCCCGGUGUGGGGCUCAAACUCAUGAACCAAAACGCAAGAACGUGACCUGAGCUGAAGCCAGAUA